rnacentral:lncRNA from 1 species
ACACACACACACACAUUAGCUCUCUCUCUCUCUUCCUCAUGUCUUCUCUCUCUCUCUCCUCCCUCUCGAUUUUCUGUUUCUUUCCCGUACAAAAUGUACGGACGAUCUAGAAACCAAAAUUUCAAGCACGGAUCGAAGGUAAAAAGGUGAGAUUUGGAAUCCUUGUAACCUCUUAAGUUCAUCUAUACCAUUUUCAAGUAAGAAAUACUUUGAAAUCACGUGAAAACCUUAACCCCAAAUGAGGUAUUAUUCAUGCACUAAUUAUUGUGAGGUUUUUAGGGGAUUUCAAGCUCACAGAGAGCUUUAGAAGGUUGUCACGAAGCUCAGGGUGUAU